CCGCAUGGUUCAGACAUAAAAGGUGGCUUCGGCUACCACUUACAGAUGGACCCGCGGCGCAUUAGCUAGUUGGUGAGGUAACGGCUCACCAAGGCGACGAUGCGUAGCCGACCUGAGAGGGUGAUCGCCACACUGGGACUGAGACACGGCCCAGACUCCUACGGGAGGCAGCAGUAGGGAAUCUUCCGCAAUGGACGAAAGUCUGACGGAGCAACGCCGCGUGAGUGAUGAAGGUUUUCGGAUCGUAAAGCUCUUUGUUAGGGAAGAACAAGUGCCGUUCAAAUAGGGCGGCACCUUGACGGUACCUAACCAGAAAGCCACGGCUAACUACGUGCCAGCAGCCGCGGUAAUACGUAGGUGGCAAGCGUUGUCCGGAAUUAUGGGCGUAAAGGGCUCGCAGGCGGUUUCUUAAGUCUGAUGUGAAAGCCCCCGGCUCAACCGGGGAGGGUCAUUGGAAACUGGGGAACUUGAGUGCAGAAGAGGAGAGUGGAAUUCCACGUGUAGCGGUAAAUGCGUAGAGAUGUGGAGGAACACCAGUGGCGAAGGCGACUCUCUGGUCUGUAACUGACGCUGAGGAGCGAAAGCGUGGGGAGCGAACAGGAUUAGAUACCCUGGUAGUCCACGCCGUAAACGAUAGUGCUAAGUGUUAGGGGGUUUCCGCCCCUUAGUGCUGCAGCUAACGCAUAAGCACUCCGCCUGGGGAGUACGGUCGCAAGACUGAAACUCAAAGGAAUUGACGGGGGCCCGCACAAGCGGUGGAGCUGUGGUUUAAUUCGAAGCAACGCGAAGAACCUUACCAGGUCUUGACAUCCUCUGACAAUCCUAGAGAUAGACGUCCCCUUCGGGGGCAGAGUGACAGGUGGUGCAUGGUUGUCGUCAGCUCGUGUCGGAGAUGUUGGGUUAAGUCCCG
rnacentral:rRNA from 1 species